UCUUUUCCUUCAAUUUGUGGCUUUCUUUCUAUCUCUACACAGUGAGCUUUCUCUCCCUAAAAACACUAUUCAAGCCUUGAUUUCUCCCUUUGCACUUGGAAUUCAACUUUGCCAUUGAAGGCAAAGUUUGACAAGGUCGAUGAGAGCUUCGUUUUGGUUAGACCCGACCUUCGUUUGGAGCACCUUGGAGUUUCGAAUUUUGGGGGUUUUUCUUGGUUUGCUCUUCAAUUUUAAGAUUCACGGGGUCAUUAAGAGGUGUGUCUUAGGCACCUCCUAUUAAGCCGUUGUGUUUACCCCUUUUUUAUAUUUUCAAGACACAUGAAGGAAGUGGCAGACGACGUUCCACCACAGACUUAGGCAUGAUUAGAAAUUGACUUUUGCUAUCUUUUGUAACUAAUUCUCAAUAUUUUGUAACAUCUUAACUUGAUACAGUUGUUGUUGUGAUUGGGGAUUCUUAACCAAGAAUAUUGUUUCAGGGACUGUAUUUUGAUGUAACUAUGACUAUAUUGUAAAUGGCUAUCAAAUUAUGUAAUGAUCCAUGUUGAUGUAUUAUGAAUGAAUGAGGUUCAUUUUGCA